CUCCAGACUCCUACGGGAGGCAGCAGUGGGGAAUAUUGCACAAUGGGGGAAACCCUGAUGCAGCGACGCCGCGUGAGUGAAGAAGUAUUUCGGUAUGUAAAGCUCUAUCAGCAGGGAAGAAAAUGACGGUACCUGACUAAGAAGCCCCGGCUAACUACGUGCCAGCAGCCGCGGUAAUACGUAGGGGGCAAGCGUUAUCCGGAUUUACUGGGUGUAAAGGGAGCGUAGACGGCAGAGCAAGUCUGAAGUGAAAGCCCGCGGCCCAACUGCGGGACUGCUUUGGAAACUGCCCGGCUAGAGUGCUGGAGAGAUAAGCGGAAUUCCUAGUGUAGCGGUGAAAUGCGUAGAUAUUAGGAGGAACACCAGUGGCGAAGGCGGCUUACUGGACAGUAACUGACGUUGAGGCUCGAAAGCGUGGGGAGCAAACAG
rnacentral:rRNA from 1 species